CCAUCUUUGACUUUCUCUGUGGAUUAACUAUUCUGCUUUGUAUCAAAAGAGUGCUAGUUUAAUUUUUAACAUUGUGAAUAUUAUCACUAUCCUUUAUAAGAGCUCAGAUAAUGAAAAUGAGAAUGAUGACAACUCCAAUGCCAGCAUGACCCAGGUAUCAUAAAAAAUGAAGACUAAAUGGAAGAACGCAUCACUGGCUUAGGGAGAUAAACAACAAAAACAGAAUAUACUGUAUACUGUACAGAAAAGAAUCUGGGAUUGGACAUACUGGAGAAGGAGAUGUGAAAGCACAUAUGAAGACGGAAUCUCAUAGGGAGAAGAUACAAAAAGGUUGGCCUGGGAAGAGAGAUCAUCAUGGCAGAUGGGACGCAGGACUACAUUGCAGCUCCUACUCGGAUGGACAGAGCAGCAUGCGGAGGCUCACAUUGCGAAUUUUAGCUCCAGAACAACUGCAAGAACAAACCAGGAAUCCUAAGAGGACCCACAGACCCUGUGAAGGAAGUGGAGUGCUCCUGCAGGACUCGGGAGACACCCCAAAUACUACUUCAACUGGGAAGUUGAGAAGGCAGAAUCUUCUACCUCAUGAAUGUCGAGCCAAUACAUAGAGGAGAGCAAACAAAACCUAGAUACAGAACAAAAGUUUUGGGGUCCUACACAAGAAUUUGCUGAAGUUAAAAGAGAAAUGAGCUACUAUUACACACGACAUGUGUGAAUCUCAAAAUCAUCAUGUUGAAAGAAGCCAGACACAAAAGAGGAGAAGACUCAACAUUUGCACUGGUUUCUCAAAAGGGUUUCAACUACACAAAAAGUGUUUAAAAAUCCAGUUAUAUGGAGAAAUAAGAUCAAUUUAUUGUCAAAAGACAGAAUUAUUCCUUUUAUACAUCAACCAGGCUUGACAUAACUGUAAUCUCACGGAAAUGUCUGCUACUGUAAUCAAGAAUUUGCAUGUAGAAGGAAUGCAUCACAGAAUAUAUGACAUCUUGCUAUGUCUACUGUAUUAAAGAAUUAAAGAGGUUUGAAAAUAAAUACGAAACAAAUCAGACAGAAACCUCAAUUUUAUUAAACUAAAAUAUCAUAGCUAGGAACAUCUCAAAUUGA